rnacentral:rRNA from 1 species
GACGAACGCUGGCGGCGUGCUUAACACAUGCAAGUCGAGCGAUGAAGUUCUUUCGGGAAUGGAUUAGCGGCGGACGGGUGAGUAACACGUGGGUAACCUGCCUCAUAGAGGGGAAUAGCCUUCCGAAAGGAAGAUUAAUACCGCAUAAGAUUGUAGUUUCGCAUGAAACAGCAAUUAAAGGAGCAAUCCGCUAUGAGAUGGACCCGCGUCGCAUUAGCUAGUUGGUGAGGUAACGGCUCACCAAGGCGACGAUGCGUAGCCGACCUGAGAGGGUGAUCGGCCACAUUGGGACUGAGACACGGCCCAGACUCCUACGGGAGGCAGCAGUGGGGAAUAUUGCACAAUGGGGGAAACCCUGAUGCAGCAACGCCGCGUGAGUGAUGACGGUCUUCGGAUUGUAAAACUCUGUCUUCAGGGACGAUAAUGACGGUACCUGAGGAGGAAGCCACGGCUAACUACGUGCCAGCAGCCGCCGCAG